rnacentral:rRNA from 1 species
GGCCCCUUCUUAUUAGAAUUAUUAGUGUGAUGUUUUUCUUGAAAGAUCAAUGCUUCUAUUAGAGUUAUCGAAUAGUUCGUAAUUAAUUAUAGUGAAUUUGUACUGUGAAGGAUCGAUUGUAUUUAAACGAAAGAAUCCUCAGUUUGGAGUACCUUGUGUAUCAGGGUUGAUUAAACGAGUCUUUAGAUAAGGGGAUCCCGAAUUAGGAAGAGUGACUUGUGUAUUAAUUUUACUGUGGAAGAAUUACUUAGGAUACACAGGUAGUAAUGAAACGUUACUCGUUUCCUACAAUAUCUGGUUUCUAGAGAAAGAAUUUUAAUUUAGUUGGUCUAUGUAAUUUUGCCUAUUUGAUGGCAUUCUUAAUUGAUCAGCAUAUACUUAAGGGGUUUAGCUCUUAUGUAGAUUUUCACAUUAGGCUUAGUGCGAUCAAUUUUUGUAGGAUUAGAAAUUUCCUUAACUAGUUUUAUGUUAUAAUUACAGUUGGUCUUGAGAGAUUUGUGUAGUAUUGGGUAUUUUAUCUAGAAGUUUUAUGUAACGGUACCUUAUUAGGUAUAAUGAUUAAAUUAGUAUAUUGAAUUGUUCGAAUUAAUCGAAAAUUUUAGGUUAGAGUAAGGAACUCGGCAAUAUUGAUUUCUCGCCUGUUUAAUAAAAACAUGUCUCUUUGAGUUUAAUUUAGAGUCUGACCUGCCCACUGAUUAUUUGAAUGGCUGCGGUAUUUUGACCGUGCAAAGGUAGCAUAAUCACUAGUUUCUUAAUUAGGAGCUUGUAUGAACGGUUGGACGAGGAAAUCUCUGUCUCGCUUUAAUUUGUAUUAGAACUUUAUUUUUAAGUCAAAAAGCUUAAAUUUCCCUGAAAGACGAGAAGACCCUAUAGAGUUUUAUAUAAUUUGGGUUUCUUUAAUGUUAGAAUUAUUUUAAAAGGAAUUGACGUUAUAUUUAGCUGGGGUGGCUGAAAAAUUGAGUUAACUUUUUUUAGUAUCAAACAUUUGUAUAUGAUUGUAUGAUCCAGUCUUACUGAUUACAAGAUUAAAUUACCUUAGGGAUAACAGCGUAAUUCCUUUAGAGAGUUCUAAUCGAAAGGGGAGUUUGCGACCUCGAUGUUGGAUUAAAAUUUACUGUUGGUGUAGCAGCUAACAAGUUAGGUCUGUUCGACCUUUGGAAUUUUACAUGAUCUGAGUUUAGACCGGCGUGAGCCAGGUUGGUUUCUAUCUUUAGAAAGAGGAAAUUUCUUAGUACGAAAGGACCAGAAAUU